UAAAUACGGAAUGAUUAGACGAAAAUAAAAAUUUCCAAAGGUUAGCACGAUCUCCUCGAAGAACGACUGCCAGUUGGAGACUGAAGACGGACGUGGGAGAUGCUCGGAGUAGAGAUGGCUUCAUCACUAUUCACCCCACUCUCCAUUUACGGUUCAUAUAAAAGGAGAAAAGGGAAAGAGGAGCAGAGCAAAGUUAAACCCAGAAAGAGGAAAAAAUCGGUGGUUGCAGAUAAGAUAUUGUGUGCAGAGCGGAUUCUCAGUCAAACCCAAAAGGCAGAGUAAAAUAGUUAUGAACUCAGGCGAUAGUGUUGCAGAUUCAGUGGAGUAAGACUUGAUAAUUGUUUCCAGAUUUUGAACAAAUCUCUACCCACCAAUUCUAUUUGGAAUAAAUCAAGCUUAAUGGCUUCAAAAAGUUUGGAGUGAGGACCGGGAUUAUUUUGGUAACCCGUGAUUGAAAAGCAAGAGAAAAAGAAGAUAAGUGAAGGAGAAGGAGACUGUUAAAGUUUAGAGCUAAGAGUUUUGAUGGGAAUGGGAUUCAGAUUCCUGUGUUCUUACGGAAAUUAGUCCAAUCAUAGACCUAUAAUAACUCAGCCAGUGCUUCAGCAACAAGUCCUAACGACUCAUGGACCAAAUGGAGCAUGUACGUGCUCGGCAUAGUAGGAAAGUGCGACUGUCAAUGAGUUUUUCACAACGCCGAGCAUAUUUGGCCCGACGACGUGCAAUAGCUCAAGGAAAGCGACCAAUGGUGGAAACUAGAUCAAGCAACAAAACUGAACAAGCUCCAUUUUUUUCUAUUUGUAGGAAAUGUACGGGCUAGGCACCCUCAACAAAAGAAAAAGUUUCAAAGAAACGAGGGCUUUAGGAGACGUGUUUCCGUGUUCUCAUCUGGUUGGCGGAUGGGACAAUCAGUAAAAAUGAACACCGCUUAUCUUAGUGAGCUGAUUUUGAAAGAGUGGAAGAAAAAGAAGCAUGCACAUUGGCGCUACAAAAACGCACGUAGAGAGUUGAUGACACACGAUAUUUGUCACAUUAAACGAACUUGGAGAAAGGUUUUGCGCAUUAGUUCUACAUCAAAUGUUUUGAGGAUUUGAAACAUGAUAUUGAGAACUCUUCCGAUAAUUGGAGUAAGGGUGUUGCAGUAAGAAAAUUAGCCAACUUCAUGUUUGGGCAACGACUAUUGACAAAUGGAUGGCUGAGAUGGAGUUGAUUCGAGCAUGGGGAUUUUAUUGAACAAAUAUGUAUAUAGGCAUGUAUAUAAGUUCCUUUUUAAAAAGUAUGUUUUUAUUGCAAACAUUUGUAUAUACCAGUGCAUAUUUUUGUAUGAAGUUUAAUGUUUUUUACUAAUGAAUUUCUAAAACC